GGCCAAAGGAACAGAUGUGAAGUGCAGCCCUCCAAGAGCGAAGUCUGGUCAGAUGAAAACUUUUCCUAGGACAGCUUUUUUCAUGCCUGGCCUCACUGGCAAGCAGAAGAAUGGAUGAGAGACAGCAGCCAUAUGCCAGACCCAUGGCAGACACUCGGCAAUUACAAAUGCUUUGCAAGCAUGCUUGUGACUCAAGAACAGAAGUGAAAGGAAGUGUCGGUCUUCUGCACUCUGCCACAGCAAGA
rnacentral:lncRNA from 1 species